UACGGGGGGGGCAAGCGUUGUUCGGAAUUACUGGGCGUAAAGGGCGCGUAGGCGGUCUACUAAGUUGGAUGUGAAAACUCUGGGCUUAACCCAGAGCCUGCAUUCAAAACUGAUAGGCUGGAGUUCUGGAGGGGAUAGCGGAAUUCCUGGUGUAGCGGUGAAAUGCGCAGAUAUCAGGAAGAACACCGAUGGCGAAGGCAGCUCUCUGGGACGGUACUGACGCUGAGACGCGAAAGCGUGGGGAGCGAACAGG
rnacentral:rRNA from 1 species